rnacentral:pre_miRNA from 1 species
GGCCCAAAUUUGAAGUAUAGUAGGUUAGUAUGGUCAGCUGAUACUACUAAUCAACUCAACCCCAAGUUUGUGCCC